rnacentral:rRNA from 1 species
UCAGGAUGAACGCUGGCGGCGUGCCUAACACAUGCAAGUCGAACGGGGUUAAGGGAAAUUUCGGAUGGAACUUAACUUAGUGGCGGACGGGUGAGUAACGCGUAGGCAACCUGCCCUUAGCAGAGGGAUAGCCAUUGGAAACGAUGAUUAAAACCUCAUAACGCUUGAGAGACACAUGCUUUCGAGCCAAAGAUUUAUCGGCUAAGGAUGGGCCUGCGUCUGAUUAACUGGUUGGUGAGGUAACGGCUCACCAAGGUGACGAUCAGUAGCCGACCUGAGAGGGUGAUCGGCCACAUUGGAACUGAGACACGGUCCAAACUUCUACGGAAGGCAGCAGUAAGGAAUCUUGCACAAUGGGGGAAACCCUGAUGCAGCAACGCCGCGUGAACGAAGAAGGCCUUCGGGUUGUAAAGUUCUGAUCUUGGGGAAGAAGGAAGUGACGGUACCCAAGGAGAAAGCCCCGGCUAACUACGUGCCAGCCGCAGC